rnacentral:rRNA from 1 species
UCCCGAAGCGUGACGAAGCUUGCUCUGAACAUCAUUGGAUCACUAGUGCGGACGGGUGAGUAACGCGUGGGUAACCUGCCCUAGUACUGGGGGAUAGCAGUUGGAAACGACUGAUAAUACCGCAUAAGCAUACACUUUCGCAUGAAAGAGUGUGAAAAACUCCGGUGGUAUAGGAUGGACCCGCGUCUGAUUAGCUAGUUGGUGAGGUAACGGCCCACCAAGGCGACGAUCAGUAGCCGGCCUGAGAGGGUGUACGGCCACAUUGGGACUGAGACACGGCCCAAACUCCUACGGGAGGCAGCAGUGGGGAAUAUUGGACAAUGGGGGAAACCCUGAUCCCAGCGACGCCGCGUGAGCGAAGAAGUAUUUCGGUAUGUAAAGCUCUAUCAGCAGGGAAGAAAAUGACGGUACCUGACUAAGAAGCACCGGCUAAAUACGUGCCAGCCGCGGC